AGCGAACGCUGGCGGCAGGCUUAACACAUGCAAGUCGAACGCCCCGCAAGGGGAGUGGCAGACGGGUUAGUAACACGUGGGAACGUACCCUUUGGGUAGGGAUAACUGGGGGAAACUCAAGCUAAUACCGGAUAAGCCCUUAUGGGGAAAGGUUUACUGCCGAAGGAUCGGCCCGCGUCUGAUUAGCUAGUUGGUGAGGUAAUGGCUCACCAAGGCGACGAUCAGUAGCUGGUCUGGGAGGAUGAUCAGCCACACUGGGACUGAGACACGGCCCAGUCUCCUACGGGAGGCAGCAGUGGGGAAUAUUGGACAAUGGGGGCAACCCUGAUCCAGCCAUGCCGCGUGAGUGAUGAAGGCCUUAGGGUUGUAAAGCUCUUUUACCCGGGACGAUAAUGACUGUACCGGGAGAAUAAGCCCCGGCUAACUUCGUGCCAGCAGCCGCAGUAA
rnacentral:rRNA from 1 species